rnacentral:rRNA from 1 species
AGCCCAAACCGAAGGUAUUCCUUCGGGGUUGUAGGACCACGUCAUAUUCGACCAUACUGGAUAGUAGAACAGCCUGGAAAGGCUGGCCGGAGAAGGUGAAAGCCCUGUAGACGAAAUCCAGAGUGGGAAUUAGUGGUAUCCUGAGUAAUACAUCACACGUGGAACGAUGUAUGAACCCGCGCGGACCACCGCGCAAGGCUAAAUACUAGUUGGCGACCGAUAGUGAACAAGUACCGCGAGGGAAAGGUGAAAAGAACCGCUGUGAGCGGAGUGAAAUAGAACCUGAAACCGUAUGUCUACAAAGUGUCAGAGCAGAGCAAUCUGCGAUGGCGUGCCUUUUGUUUAAUGAGUCUGCGAGUCAGUGUUUGUGGCAAGACUAAGGGCUUCCGGCCCGGAGUCGCAGCGAAAGCAAGUCCGAACAGGGCGCAAUAAGUCGCAGGUACUGGACCCGAAGCGGAGGUGACCUACCCUUGGCCAGGUUGAAGCAUGGGUAAAACCAUGUGGAGGACCGAACAGGUGAACGUUGAAAAGUUCUCUGAUGAGCUGAGGGUAGGAGUGAAAGGCUAAUCAAACCCCGUGAUAGCUGGUUCUCUUCGAAAUGCAUUUAGGUGCAGCGUCACGUGCUGAUGCGCGGGGGUAGAGCACUGACAAGGCUAGGGGGCACACCCGCUUACCAAACCUUAUCAAACUCCGAAUACCGUGCAAUGGAACGUGGCAGUGAGACAGUGGGGGAUAAGCUUCAUUGUCGAGAGGGAAACAACCCAGACCAGCAGCUAAGGUGCCUAAAUAACGCUCAGUGGAAAGGAUGUGGGAUUACACAGACAGUGAGGAUGUUGGCUUAGAAGCAGCCACCAUUUAAAAAAUGCGUAAUAGCUUACUCAUCGAGUGAUCCUGCGCCGAAAAUGAUUGGCGAUCAAGCGUUAUACCGAAGCUCUGGACUUUGCCGCAAGGCAGAGUGGUAGAAGAGCGUUGCAUGCGCGUCGAAGGGCGAUGGCGACUGACCCUGGAGCACAUGCAAGUGAGUAUGCAGACAUGAGUAACGUUAAGCCGGGUGAAAUCCCCGGCCGCCGUAAACCCGAGGUUUCCAGGGCAACGUGUUUCGUCCCUGGGUUAGCCGGGACCUAAGCCGAGGCCGAGAGGCGUAGGCGAUGGACAUCAGGUUAAUAAUCCUGAGCUCGCAACCCUUAAACUGGGGGGACGCAUGAGAAAAGAUGACUAGGUUAUUGAAUUCCGAGUUGAGUCCACGGACUCAGCGCAUCAUUGGAUCGAGUGCCAAGAAAAGCCCCAGCGUAUGCUAAGCGACCCGUACCGCAAACCGACACAGGUGGGUGGGUAGAAUAUACCAAGGCGUAAGAGUGAAACCUGGUUAAGGAACUCGGCAAAUUAGCCCCGUAACUUCGGAAGAAGGGGUGCCUGCAGCGAUGCAGGCCGCAGAGAAAUGGCCCAACCGACUGUUUAUCAAAAACACAGCACUCUGCAAAGACGCAAGUCGAAGUAUAGGGUGUGACACGUGACCAAUGCCGAAAGAUUAAGGCAAGGGGUUAGCCGCAAGGCGAAGCUCUGAACCCAAGUCCCGGUGAAUGUCGGCCGUAACUAUAACGGUCCUAAGGUAGCGAAAUUCCUUGUCGGGUAAGUUCCGACCUGCACGAAUCGUGAAACGAGUUGGGCACUGUCUCAACCAGGCGCUCAGUGAAAUUGUAGUGGCGGUGAAGAUGCCGCCUACCCGCAGAAGGACGGAAAGACCCUAUAGACCUUAACUGUAAGCUGUCAUUGUUUCUUCGGUUUUAAUGCUCAGAGUAAGUGGGAGACGCUGAAGACGCCCUUUAGGGGGCGUCCGAGUCAUCAAUGAGACACCACCCUUUGAAACUGGAGGAUCUAACCCUGAGCCGUGAAUCCGGCCAGAGGACCGUGUCAGCCGGUCAGUUUUACUGGGGCGGUAUCCUCCCAAAGAGUAACGGAGGAGCGCGAAGGUGGGCUCAGCCCGGUUGGCAACCGGGUGUCGAGUGCAUGGGCAUAAGCCCGCCUAACUGUGAGACCAACAAGUCGAGCAGAUGCGAAAGCAGGCCCAAGUGAUCCGGCGGUAGAAAGUGGAAUUGCCGUCGCUCAACGGAUAAAAGGUACCUUAGGGAUAACAGGCUGAUCACGCCCAAGAGU